ACUUGGGUGCUGCAUUUGAAACUGGGUGUCUAGAGUGCAGGAGAGGUAAGUGGAAUUCCUAGUGUAGCGGUGAAAUGCGUAGAGAUUAGGAAGAACACCAGUGGCGAAGGCGACUUACUGGACUGUAACUGACGCUGAGGUGCGAAAGCUAGGGGAGCGAACGGGAUUAGAUACCCCGGUAGUCCUAGCCGUAAACGAUGGAUACUAGGUGUUAGUGGUAUCGACCCCACUAGUGCCGCAGCUAACGCAAUAAGUAUCCCGCCUGGGGAGUACGGCCGCAAGGUUGAAACUCAAAGGAAUUGACGGGGGCCCGCACAAGCGGUGGAGCAUGUGGUUUAAUUCGUCAUUAACCGAAGAACCUUACCAGGGUUUGACAUCUAGGGAAUUCUGAUGAAAGUCGGGAGUGCCCCCAA
rnacentral:rRNA from 1 species